rnacentral:rRNA from 1 species
AGUGAACGCUGGCGGUAGGCCUAACACAUGCAAGUCGAACGGCAGCACAGUAAGAGCUUGCUCUUACGGGUGGCGAGUGGCGGACGGGUGAGGAAUACAUCGGAAUCUACUUUUUCGUGGGGGAUAACGUAGGGAAACUUACGCUAAUACCGCAUACGACCUACGGGUGAAAGCAGGGGAUCUUCGGACCUUGCGCGAUUGAAUGAGCCGAUGUCGGAUUAGCUAGUUGGCGGGGUAAAGGCCCACCAAGGCGACGAUCCGUAGCUGGUCUGAGAUGAUGAUCAGCCACAAUGGAACUGAGACACGGUCCAGACUCCUACGGGAGGCAGCAGUGGGGAAUAUUGGACAAAGGGAGCAAGCCUGAUCCAGCCAUACCGCGUGGGUGAAGAAGGCCUUCGGGUAGUAAAGACCUUUUGUUGGGAAAGAAAAGCAGCAGGUUAAUACCCCGCUGUUAUGACGGUACCCAAAGAAUAAGCACCGGCUAACUUCGUG